CCAAAGGCUCUUAUAAGAGCCACCCCUCUGUGUUCUUUUCUGCUGU
rfam:Oreochromis niloticus linkage group LG5, whole genome shotgun sequence.